ACUCAAAGGAAUUGACGGGGGCCCGCACAAGCGGUGGAGCAUGUGGUUUAAUUCGACGCAACGCGAAGAACCUUACCAGGCCUUGACAUCCUCGCGAAAGCCCGGGAGACCGGGCCGCCUUUCGGGGCGCGAGGACAGGUGGUGCAUGGUUGUCGUCAGCUCGUGUCGUGAGAUGUUGGGUUAAGUCCCGCAACGAGCGCAACCCUUGUCGUUAGUUGCCAGCAUUAACGGUGGGCACUCUAAUGAGACUGCCGGUGACAAACCGGAGGAAGGUGGGGAUGACGUCAAAUCAUCAUGCCCUUUAUGGCCUGGGCUACACACGUGCUACAAUGGCCAGUACAGAGGGAAGCCAAGGAGCGAUCUGGAGCAAAUCCCAAAAAGCUGGUCCCAGUUCGGAUUGCAGGCUGCAACUCGCCUGCAUGAAGUCGGAAUCGCUAGUAAUCGCAGAUCAGAAUGCUGCGGUGAAUACGUUCCCGGGCCUUGUACACACCGCCCGU
rnacentral:rRNA from 1 species